GAUGAACGCUGGCGGCGUGCCUAAUACAUGCAAGUCGAGCGAACAGACGAGGAGCUUGCUCCUCUGACGUUAGCGGCGGACGGGUGAGUAACACGUGGAUAACCUACCUAUAAGACUGGGAUAACUUCGGGAAACCGGAGCUAAUACCGGAUAAUAUAUUGAACCGCAUGGUUCAAUAGUGAAAGACGGUUUUGCUGUCACUUAUAGAUGGAUCCGCGCCGCAUUAGCUAGUUGGUAGGUAACGGCUUACCAAGGCGACGAUGCGUAGCCGACCUGAGAGGGUGAUCGGCCACACUGGAACUGAGACACGGUCCAGACUCCUACGGGAGGCAGCAGUAGGGAAUCUUCCGCAAUGGGCGAAAGCCUGACGGAGCAACGCCGCGUGAGUGAUGAAGGUCUUCGGAUCGUAAAACUCUGUUAUUAAGGAAGAACAAAUGUGUAAGUAACUAUGCACGUCUUGACGGUACCUAAUCAGAAAGCCACGGCGAACUACGU
rnacentral:rRNA from 1 species